rnacentral:rRNA from 1 species
AUUGAACGCUGGCGGCAUGCUUUACACAUGCAAGUCGAACGGUAACAGGCCGCAAGGUGCUGACGUGUGGCGGACGGGAGAGUAAUGCAUCGGAACGUGCCCAGUCGUGGGGGAUAACUACUCGAAAUAGUAGCUAAUACCGCAUACGGGCUAUGGAUGAAAUCGGGGGACCGUAAGGGGUCGCGCGAUUGUAUCGGCCGAUGUCAGGUUAGGUAGUUGGUGGGGUGAAGGCUCACCAAGCCAACGAUCUGUAGCUGGUCUGAGAGGACGACCAGCCACACUGGGAGUGACACACGGCCCAGACUCAUACGGGAGGCAGCAGUGGGGAAUUUUGGACAAUGGGCGCAAGCAUGAUCCAGCAAUGCCGCGUGCAGGAAGAAGGCCUUCGGGUUGUAAACUGCUUUUGUACGGAACGAAACGGCUCUGGUUAAUACCCGGGGCUAAUGCCGGUACCGUAAGAAUAAGCACCGGCUAACUACGUG